AGGGAAUCUUCCACAAUGGGCGCAAGCCUGAUGGAGCAACACCGCGUGAGUGAAGAAGGGUUUCGGCUCGUAAAGCUCUGUUGUUGGAGAAGAACGUGCGUGAGAGUAACUGUUCACGCAGUGACGGUAUCCAACCAGAAAGUCACGGCUAACUACGUGCCAGCAGCCGCGGUAAUACGUAGGUGGCAAGCGUUAUCCGGAUUUAUUGGGCGUAAAGCGAGCGCAGGCGGUUGCUUAGGUCUGAUGUGAAAGCCUUCGGCUUAACCGAAGAAGUGCAUCGGAAACCGGGCGACUUGAGUGCAGAAGAGGACAGUGGAACUCCAUGUGUAGCGGUGGAAUGCGUAGAUAUAUGGAAGAACACCAGUGGCGAAGGCGGCUGUCUGGUCUGCAACUGACGCUGAGGCGCGAAAGCAUGGGUAGCGAAC
rnacentral:rRNA from 1 species